rnacentral:ncRNA from 1 species
CAGAGUAGAUAGGAAGCAUCAAGUGCUAAGAAAUGGGUUGUUGUUCUUAGACGAAGCUAAGGCUAUGAUUUUCUAUCGCAACCGCUGC